rnacentral:rRNA from 1 species
CAUGUAGGCGUUCCGGUAAGUCGAAGGUGAAAUCCCAUAGCUCAACUAUGGAACUGCCUUCGAAACUCCCGGGAUUGAGUACGAAAGGGGAGAAUGGAAUUCCCGGUGUAAGGGUGAAAUCUGUAGAUAUCGGGAGGAACACCUGUGGCGAAGGCGAUUCUCUGGUUCGAUACUGACGCUGAAAUGCGAAAGCUAGGGGAGCAAACA